ACGAACGCUGGCGGCGCGCCUAAUACAUGCAAGUCGAACGGGUUGCCUUCGGGCAGCCAGUGGCGGAACGGGUGAGUAACACGUGGGUGACCUGCCCUGAAGUGGGGAAUAACGCUGCGAAAGCAGCGCUAAUACCGCAUAUGCUUAGCGUUUCAUGACGUUAAGUAAAGCGCUUAGCGCUUCAGGAGGGGCCUGCGGCCGAUUAGCUAGUCGGAGGGGUAACGGCCCACCGAGGCGACGAUCGGUAGCUGGUCUGAGAGGAUGAUCAGCCACACUGGGACUGAGACACGGCCCAGACUCCUACGGGAGGCAGCAGUAAGGGAAUCUUCCACAAUGGGCGCAAGCCUGAUGGAGCGACGCCGCGUGGAGUGAAGGAAGGCCCUUCGGGGUCGUAAAGCGCUGUUUCCAGGGAAGAUAAGGCUAGUUACUGCUAGUCCGAUGACGGUACCUGAGAAGAAAGCCCUCGGCUAACUACGUGCCAGCAGCCGCGGGUAAUACGUAGGGGGCAAGCGUUGUCCGGAAUUCAUUGGGCGUAAAGCGCGCUGCAGGCUGGUUGCGUUAAGUCUGGUGUGAUAAGUGCGGGGCUUCAACCCCGGGGAGGUCAGGCUGGAAACUGGGGAACUUGAGUGCAGGUAAGAGGGAGAGCGGAAUUCCACGGUGUAGCUGGUGAAAUGCGUAGAGAUGUGGAGGAACACCAUGUGGCGAAGGCGGCUCCCCUGGGACUGGACUGACACUGAGGACGCGAAAGGCGUGGGGAGCGAAACAGGGAUUAGAUACCCCUGGUAGUCCACGCCGUAAAACGAUGAGUACUAGGUGUUGGGGGGUAUCGAUGCCCCUCCGUGCCGAAGUUAACGCACAUUAAGCUACUGCCGCCUGGGGAGUACGGUCCGCAAGGUACUUAAACUCAAAGGAAUUGACGGGGGACCCGCACAAGCAGUGGAGUAGUGUGGUUUAAUUCGAUGCAACGCGAAGAACCUUACCAGGUCUUGACAUCCCUCUGACCGGUACAGAGAUGUACCUUUCCUUCGGGACAGAGGAGACAGGUGGUGCAUGGUUGUCGUCAGCUCGUGUCGUGAGAUGUUGGGUUAAGUCCCGCAACGAGCGCAACCCUUGAACUUAGUUGCCAGCACUUCGGGUGGGCACUCUAGGUUGACUGCCGGUGACAAACCGGAGGAAGGCGGGGAUGACGUCAAAUCAUCAUGCCCCCUUAUGACCUGGGCUACACACGUACUACAAUGGCCGGUACAACGGGUCGCGAAGCCGCGAGGCGGAGCUAAUCCUACCAAAGCCGGUCUCAGUUCGGAUUGCAGGCUGCAACUCGCCUGCAUGAAGUCGGAAUUGCUAGUAAUCGCGGAUCAGCAUGCCGCGGUGAAUACGUUUCCCGGGUCUUGUACACACCGCCCGUCACACCACGAGAGUUUACAACACCCGAAGUCGGUGGGGUAACCCGCAAGGGAGCCAGCCGCCGAAGGUGGGGUAGAUGAUUGGGGUG
rnacentral:rRNA from 1 species